GUGUGUGUGUGGAUGGUGUUCAGCACCAGGGACAGGCCUGUGUGUGGAUGGUGUUAUCAUUAGGGACAGGUGUGUUUACAG
rnacentral:pre_miRNA from 1 species